GAUGAACGCUGGCGGCGUGCCUAAUACAUGCAAGUCGAGCGAACAGACGAGGAGCUUGCUCCUCUGACGUUAGCGGCGGACGGGUGAGUAACACGUGGAUAACCUACCUAUAAGACUGGGAUAACUUCGGGAAACCGGAGCUAAUACCGGAUAAUAUAUUGAACCGCAUGGUUCAAUAGUGAAAGACGGUUUGGCGGCAACUUAUAGAUGAAUCCGCGCCGCAUUAGCUAGUUGGUAAGGUAACGGCUUACCAAGGCAACGAUGCGUAGCCGACCUGAGAGGGUGAUCGGCCACACUGGAACUGAGACACGGUCCAGACUCCUACGGGAGGCAGCAGUAGGGAAUCUUCCGCAAUGGGCGAAAGCUUGACGGAGCAACGCCGCGUGAGUGAUGAAGGUCUUCGGAUCGUAAAACUCUGUUAUUAGGGAAGAACAAAUGUGUAAGUAACUAUGCACGUCUUGACGGUACCUAAUCAGAAAGCCACGGCUAACUACGUG
rnacentral:rRNA from 1 species